CCUUCCAAGUGUACUUUUGCCUUAUAUAAUAGCACAAGGUAUUUCACUUCCGGUGGGGAUUUUCUAUUCAAAUGUGAGGUCUAUAUUCAUCAUUUCAUUCUUAUUAGAAAGUGAACAUUAUAUCUAAUUUAACUUUACAAAACCAACCAAUUUAUAAGGUGAGAUUUUCAUUUACAUAUUGUAACUUAAUUAUUUCUCUAGUUGAUGUGGGAUUUGUAAUAGACCUUAAGGACCGAACAUCUUGAGUGUGGAACUAAAUGUAUUUGUGGAUAGUUAGAAAGUGGUCUCACAACGGGUGAAAUCAUAGGUCCAACAAUUUUAGUUGGGAUAUACCUUAAUACCACUAGAAAGUGGACUUUAAGUUUAACCAUGCAAAAUCGACUUAGUAAUGUGAGCUUUAACUAAGAUUUUAGUUCAUUGCUAAAUGAUAGCACAUUUUUCUUAACCCAUGUUGCUUCUGUUUAUGAACUUGCCUUAUAUGAUUAUCAAUUUCCUUGUAAUAAUUUUAUUAUAUUUGCUUCAGUGAAACUCUCUUGAUUUUCUUCCUACCCCAAGUUUUGAACUUUCUCUUGUCACUUCCCCAGCUUUCUGGCUAUAUUCCGUGUCCACGUCAUCGUCUGCCAAGGUUUGACCCUCAAACUGGACUACUGACUGGGACAAAUGAUGGGACACUCGUUAACUUCUUCCUAAGAAAUUUAGGCCGCAAAUCUGAAAAAGCACUUUGUAUUUAUCUUCUUGCUUUCCAGGCUAUAGCGUGCUGUUUCUGUUUCUUGCUAAGGUAUUUCCUUGCUGGUUGGUACAAAUAAAAGCCCGAAGUGGAUACUAAAAAAGACAUGGAUGAAAACCACUCGACAGACUGGUUUUGUUGUAUAACCAUUUUUGUAGAAAAAUUUAGUGAGAAAUAGGCAUAUAGAUUUUGGUGAACGAAUUUCUUUCAUUAUCUGAAUGUUGUGUACUAAUAUCAACUUACAGAAAUAUACCACUUGAAAAUUUUCUGGAGA